GUAAAACUUCGUGAUUUAUUAUCCAAACCAAACAACCUAUGUAUAGUGCUCGUAUUAACUACAGUUCACCUUUGUUUUUGUAACGUACACUUUCCAGAAGCGCUUGGAUUUAAAGUGGACGGAAGCCUCAACCCGUCAACAGGCGAGAUAAGGAAGAGAUGUUUACAGCA